GACGAACGCUGGCGGCGUGCUUAACACAUGCAAGUCGAACGGAAAGGCCCUGCUUUUGUGGGGUGCUCGAGUGGCGAACGGGUGAGUAACACGUGAGUAACCUGCCCUUGACUUUGGGAUAACUUCAGGAAACUGGGGCUAAUACCGGAUAGGAGCUCCUGCUGCAUGGUGGGGGUUGGAAAGUUUCGGCGGUUGGGGAUGGACUCGCGGCUUAUCAGCUUGUUGGUGGGGUAGUGGCUUACCAAGGCUUUGACGGGUAGCCGGCCUGAGAGGGUGACCGGCCACCUUGGGCCUGAGGUACGGCCCAGACUCCUACGGGAGGCAGCAGUGGGGAAUAUUGCACAAUGGGCGGAAGCCUGAUGCAGCAACGCCGCGUGCGUGAUGACGGCCUUCGGGUUGUAAACCGCUUUCGCCUGUGACGAAGCGUGAGUGACGGUAAUGGGUAAAGAAGCACCGGCUAACUACGUG
rnacentral:rRNA from 1 species